GAUGAACGCUGGCGGCGUGCCUAAUACAUGCAAGUCGAGCGAACAGAUAAGGAGCUUGCUCCUUUGAAGUUAGCGGCGGACGGGUGAGUAACACGUGGGUAACCUACCUAUAAGACUGGGAUAACUUCGGGAAACCGGAGCUAAUACCGGAUAACAUUUAGAACCGCAUGGUUCUAAAGUGAAAGAUGGUUUUGCUAUCACUUAUAGAUGGACCCGCGCCGUAUUAGCUAGUUGGUAAGGUAACGGCUUACCAAGGCGACGAUACGUAGCCGACCUGAGAGGGUGAUCGGCCACACUGGAACUGAGACACGGUCCAGACUCCUGCGGGAGGCAGCAGUAGGGAAUCUUCCGCAAUGGGCGAAAGCCUGACGGAGCAACGCCGCGUGAGUGAUGAAGGGUUUCGGCUCGUAAAACUCUGUUAUUAGGGAAGAACAAAUGUGUAAGUAACUGUGCACAUCUUGACGGUACCUAAUCAGAAAGCCACGGCUAACUACGUG
rnacentral:rRNA from 1 species